UACAGAGGGUGCGAGCGUUAAUCGGAAUUACUGGGCGUAAAGCGCACGUAGGCGGAUAUUUAAGUCGAUUGUGAAAGCCCCGGGCUUAACCUGGGAACUGCAGUCGAUACUGAAUAUCUAGAGUAUGGUAGAGGAAAGUGGAAUUCCCGGUGUAGCGGUGAAAUGCGUAGAUAUCGUAAGGAAGACCAGUGGCGAAGGCGGCACUCUGGGCCGAUACUGGACGCUGAGGCACGAAAGCGUGGGGAGCAAACAGG
rnacentral:rRNA from 1 species